GAGUUUGAUCCUGGCUCAGGACGAACGCUGGCGGCGUGCCUAAUACAUGCAAGUCGAGCGAGCUUGCCUAGAUGAUUUUAGUGCUUGCACUAAAUGAAACUAGAUACAAGCGAGCGGCGGACGGGUGAGUAACACGUGGGUAACCUGCCCAAGAGACUGGGAUAACACCUGGAAACAGAUGCUAAUACCGGAUAACAACACUAGACGCAUGUCUAGAGUUUGAAAGAUGGUUCUGCUAUCACUCUUGGAUGGACCUGCGGUGCAUUAGCUAGUUGGUAAGGUAACGGCUUACCAAGGCAAUGAUGCAUAGCCGAGUUGAGAGACUGAUCGGCCACAUUGGGACUGAGACACGGCCCAAACUCCUACGGGAGGCAGCAGUAGGGAAUCUUCCACAAUGGACGAAAGUCUGAUGGAGCAACGCCGCGUGAGUGAAGAAGGGUUUCGGCUCGUAAAGCUCUGUUGGUAGUGAAGAAAGAUAGAGGUAGUAACUGGCCUUUAUUUGACGGUAAUUACUUAGAAAGUCACGGCUAACUACGUGCCAGCAGCCGCGGUAAUACGUAGGUGGCAAGCGUUGUCCGGAUUUAUUGGGCGUAAAGCGAGUGCAGGCGGUUCAAUAAGUCUGAUGUGAAAGCCUUCGGCUCAACCGGAGAAUUGCAUCAGAAACUGUUGAACUUGAGUGCAGAA
rnacentral:rRNA from 1 species